rnacentral:lncRNA from 10 species
ACUAAAAAUAUACAUUUGCCUUCAGUUUCCUCAGAUCUUGGAUAUUGAGCAAAUGGAGAAACAAAGAUGAAUAAGACACAAUCUCUGCCCUUAAGGAACCUGGUUUGAUGAAAACAAAGGGUAAAUGCAGGCUACACUGAACUUAUGCACAGGCUCAUUUGGCUCCUGGGAAGGUCCUGGGGCAGAAAGAAGACAGACUCUUGCAGUAACUUGUGAGACACCAUCAGCAGGAAACUAAGCCCAUGCGAAACUCUGCAUGGGAGCUGUCACUGAAACCAGAGAGAACAAAGGGGUGUGAGGGACCAAAGAGAAGUGAACACG